rnacentral:rRNA from 1 species
UUCCAGACUCCUACGGGAGGCAGCAGUGGGGAAUAUUGCACAAUGGGGGGAACCCUGAUGCAGCGACGCCGCGUGGGUGAAGGAGUAUUUCGGUAUGUAAAGCUCUAUCAGCAGGGAAGAAAAUGACGGUACCUGACUAAGAAGCCCCGGCUAAAUACGUGCCAGCAGCCGCGGUAAUACGUAUGGGGCAAGCGUUAUCCGGAUUUACUAGGUGUAAAGGGAGUGCAGGCGGCUUGGCAAGUCUGAUGUGAAAGGCUGGGGCUCAACCCCAGGACUGCAUUGGAAACUGUUAGGCUGGAGUGUCGGAGAGGUAAGCGGAAUUCCUAGUGUAGCGGUGAAAUGCGUAGAUAUUAGGAGGAACACCAGUGGCGAAGGCGGCUUACUGGACGACAACUGACGCUGAGGCUCGAAAGCGUGGGGAGCAAACAGGAUUAGAUACCCGUAUA